UGGGAGGGUAAAGUAGUGGUCUAAUUGUCACAGUACUCCCUAGAACAAACCUGCCUUUUGAUGCCUGGGAAGAACUGAGUAAAAUCAUAAUGAGAAGACACAGGACAGCCAGUU